AUUGAACGCUGGCGGCAGGCCUAACACAUGCAAGUCGAGCGGAUGAAGGGAGCUUGCUCCUGGAUUCAGCGGCGGACGGGUGAGUAAUGCAUAGGAAUCUGCCUGGUAGUGGGGGAUAACGUCCGGAAACGGGCGCUAAUACCGCAUACGUCCUGAGGGAGAAAGUGGGGGAUCUUCGGACCUCACGCUAUCAGAUGAGCCUAGGUCGGAUUAGCUAGUUGGUGGGGUAAAGGCCUACCAAGGCGACGAUCCGUAACUGGUCUGAGAGGAUGAUCAGUCACACUGGAACUGAGACACGGUCCAGACUCCUACGGGAGGCAGCAGUGGGGAAUAUUGGACAGUGGGCGAGAGCCUGAUACAGCCAUGGCGAGUGUGUGAAGAAGGUCUUCGGAUUGUAAAGAACUUUAAGUUGGGAGGAAGGGCAGUAAGUUAAUACCUUGCUGUUUUGACGGUACUAACAGAAUAAGCACCGGCUAACUUCGUG
rnacentral:rRNA from 1 species